rnacentral:rRNA from 1 species
CCUACGGGAGGCAGCAGUGGGGAAUUUUGGACAAUGGGCGCAAGCCUGAUCCAGCCAUUCCGCGUGCAGGAUGAAGGCCCUCGGGUUGUAAACUGCUUUUGUACGGAACGAAACGGCGCUUUCUAAUACAGGGCGCUAAUGACGGUACCGUAAGAAUAAGCACCGGCUAACUACGUGCCAGCAGCCGCGGUAAUACGUAGGGUGCAAGCGUUAAUCGGAAUUACUGGGCGUAAAGCGUGCGCAGGCGGUGAUGUAAGACAGAUGUGAAAUCCCCGGGCUCAACCUGGGAACUGCAUUUGUGACUGCAUCGCUGGAGUGCGGCAGAGGGGGAUGGAAUUCCGCGUGUAGCAGUGAAAUGCGUAGAUAUGCGGAGGAACACCGAUGGCGAAGGCAAUCCCCUGGGCCUGCACUGACGCUCAUGCACGAAAGCGUGGGGAGCAAACAGGAUUAGAUACCCUGGUAGUCCACGCCCUAAACGAUGUCAACUGGUUGUUGGGUCUUCACUGACUCAGUAACGAAGCUAACGCGUGAAGUUGACCGCCUGGGGGAGGUACGGCCGCGAGUAGAACGUACGAAGAAGUUAGACGGACGAGAGACGNGCCGACGGACGACGACGAGGGAGGAGGG